rnacentral:rRNA from 1 species
AGAGUUUUGAUUCCAUGGCUCAGAGUGAACGCUGGCGGUAGGCCUAACACAUGCAAGUCGAACGGCAGCACAGCAGUAGCAAUACUGUGGGUGGCGAGUGGCGGACGGGUGAGGAAUACAUCGGAAUCUACCUUUUCGUGGGGGAUAACGUAGGGAAACUUACGCUAAUACCGCAUAAGACCUUCGGGUGAAAGUGGGGGACCUUCGGGCCUCACGCGGAUAGAUGAGCCGAUGUCGGAUUAGCUUGUUGGCGGGGUAAAAGCCCACCAAGGCGACGAUCCGUAGCUGGUCUGAGAGGAUGAUCAGCCACACUGGAACUGAGACACGGUCCAGACUCCUACGGGAGGCAGCAGUGGGGAAUAUUGGACAAUGGGCGCAAGCCUGAUCCAGCCAUACCGCGUGGGUGAAGAAGGCCUUCGGGUUGUAAAGCCCUUUUGUUGGGAAAGAAAUCCUGCCGGUUAAUAACCAGUAGGGAUGACGGUACCCAAAGAAUAGC